CUGUUUUUGAACCCUUCUUAAUAGCCUUGGCCUUCACAACAUCCUCUGGCAAGGAGUUGCAUAGACUGACUGUGUGUCAUGUGAAAAAAAUACUUCCUUUUGUUUUAAACCUGCUGCCUAUUAAUUUCAUUUGGUGACCCCUAGUUCGUGAGUUAGAAGGAGUAGUAAAUAAAACUUCCUUACUUUUUCCACACCAGUCAUGA